rnacentral:lncRNA from 1 species
AGCUGAGCCAACAUCUCAGGCUAUGACCAAAUGACCAGCAGAUAAGGAGAGAGAUCACCUCUCCAUGGGUCCUGAAAGAAUAUGGCUGCAGGAAGGUCCUAGACCUGAGGCACACAAAGACCCAUUGUCCAUUUAUCUCCUGGGAGAAGACAGAGGACUAGCUCGAGUUAACAACCAAUAAGACAGAAAUAUUGGAGAGAUCUACCAUAUGCUAUGUCAUUUUCCAGCUACUAUGGAAAGUAUGCCAUACCAGCCACAGUGGGGAAUAUAUAAUAUUGACACAAAAGAAACUUAUGGACAUUGUCUAGAAAUCUUUAAAAACAUCUGAGUUUACAUUUUCUCUGUAUUCAAACAUAGAGAAUUGUGAAUUCUCUUCCAACAUGUGUGUGUCUGUAUAUAUAGAGAGAGAGAGAGAAACAGAGGGAGAGGGAGAGAGGGAAAAGGCAUAUAUUCAAGGAUUUUCAGCUGUUUGUCUUUGAAGUCAAUAAAUUUUUAAUGAGUUAAAUUACAACAAUUCCAAAACUAAUGCAUACUCAAAUAUACUUGUCUUUUACUAUAUAAACGUGUGUGUGAGUAUGUGUGUAUCACGGGGGGUGCGUUUAUGUGCAUGUGUUGUGUGCAUACACAUAUAUGUGUAUAUGAAAUAAUGAUGAAUGUGGGGAAUGAAGAAAUAUUAAAUGAGGAGCA